GGUUAAACCAAGAAGAUUAAGUCAUGCAUUUUUGGUGAAAAGACAGUUAAGCGGAAUAAAAGUUUGUUUAAUAGCCAUCAAGAAGUAAAAUUCGUAAAUAGCUUAGAAACUUAUUCAAAACUAAAAAGCUGAAGCUGUGACACCCUUGAGGGAAACUGGGAUUAGAUACCCCACUAUUCUUGGAGGUAAAAAAAUAUAAAUUUACCAGAGUACUAUGGAUCAAUUACAUUUAAAACUCAAAGAGCUUGGCGGUGUUUUAGACUCUUUAGGGGAGCCUGUCUCAUAAUCGACAAUCCACGUAAGACCUGACCUUUAUUUGCUUUCAGUUUGUAUACCGUCGUCGUCAGGUAACUUUUUAGAAAAAAGAAGUUAGCAAAAGAGUUUCUAAUAAACUCUCACGUCAGAUCAAGGUGCAGCCAAUAUAAAGGAGAGGAUGGGCUACAAUUAUAAAAGUUAUAAUUACGGAAUAACUGCCUUAAAUAGCAGUUAUGAAGGAGGACUUAAAAGUAAAACACAAUACAUAAGUGUAUUGAAUCGAGCUCUGAAACGUGCACACAUCGCCC
rnacentral:rRNA from 1 species